GACACCUACUCCAUACCACCACCGAAAUGGGAACAUCCACAGCGAUCGUCUGCAAUUUCGCGUAUGUUCCACAAUACAGACGCCUUCGCGGAGUCGUUGAGGAAGUAUCCCAAUCCUGGCUUAGAGAAAUCUCAGUCAGAUGAAAUAGUACAGCGGAUUUUGAGCUACGCACAAGGCAGGAGUUUUAGCAAGAAAUCAAAAUCUAGAAGCAUGAGAUCUCUUCUGCGCAAGAGUUCGAAUCAUAAGAGAUCGAAGAGAUCUGUUGGUGUAGUGACAAGCUCUGUCUCUCUUUUGUUCGGGAGGUCUUCCAGUCUUGUUAAUACAAGGCCAGAAAUAGACACAAGGUAUAAUUACUUAAACACGAGUAUGUCGAAACCGGGAUUCGAAGUCCGAUACUUGACGGGACUGAAACGGGCGAUUUGCACCAAACUACUGGACUUGUGUGAUGAUUCACCUAAGAUUUGUCCGAAAAUCAAGAGUCGCUACAGCAAUCACAAGAGACAUUGCCGAUCACACACUUUCCAAAUUAAGCCUCAAGACAACAAAAGCAUUGAAGUUCAAG